rnacentral:rRNA from 1 species
CCUACGGGACGCAGCAGUCGGGAAUAUUGCGCAAUGGAGGAAACUCUGACGCAGUGACGCCGCGUAUAGGAAGAAGGUUUUCGGAUUGUAAACUAUUGUCGUGAGGGAAGAAAAUGACGGUACCUGACUAAGAAGCCCCGGCUAACUACGUGCCAGCAGCCGCGGUAAUACGUAGGGGGCAAGCGUUAUCCGGAUUUACUGGGUGUAAAGGGAGCGUAGACGGAGGAGCAAGUCUGAUGUGAAAAUCCGGGGCCCAACCCCGGAACUGCAUUGGAAACUGUUUAUCUAGAGUGUCGGAGAGGCAA